CUAUGUGAUUUGUUAGUCAGAAAUUCCAUCAUGUUUUGUCCCAUCCCUCAGAAAUCUCAGUUCCAAUUUUUUUCCCUCCUCAGAGCUGUCUUGUGCAUAACAAACCCCACAUUGUUCCUGUGUGUUCUCCUGCAUUUAUUUCAUGUCAUCUUCUUGCAGGGAAGAAAAAAACCUAGAGCUUCUCUCACUUAGCACCCUUUGGGACAGCAGCUGUAGAUGAAGAGCAAGCAAUCAACAUGUCAGGAUAAAAUUAGAUUGCCACGGAGUACAAGGUCUCUGGUUAACAGGAACUGUCUCCUGAAGGGAGCCACGAUGAUGUGGGAGGUGUGGCUGGGAUUGCUGUGAGGGUGCUGAGCCAAGAAGGUGUUUGACCCUCGGGCCUCGCAAUUUGUGCCGCGUCGAAUCUUCAGCCGGUGGAACGUCCUGUGGUAUUAUCAGAAAUUCCCUGUCUGAGUCUGCCGAGCUCCUGCUGCUCAGGAUGGGAUGGAUCAGAGUGGAAGGUUGAUAGAAACACGAGCUGGGGCUGUUGUUGACUGGCACCUUCUGUUAGAGCUGCUCUUCCAGUGCUGAGCCUGCUUCCCUGGACUCCUGGAAGGUUCACACCUUGGCAGGAGCUGCUCAGCACAGUUUGGUGAGGUCUCCUCCGUCCCGUGCCAGGCACGUCCCUCCCCACAGGGGGCUUUAA